GCUUUAGAAGAAGUUUCCGGCUAAGUAGAAAAGAUAAGAAAACAAAUCAAUCCAUGUAUGAAUGCAAGAAGAGUGACCAGUAUGAUACAGCUGACGUACCCACCUACGAGGAGGUGAUGCCAUAUCGGCGACAGACACACGAAAAGUACAGGCUGGUCGUCUUGGUUGGCCUGGUGGGAGUUGGGCUGAAUGAACUGAAACGGAAGCUGCUCAUCAGUGACACCCAGCACUACACUGUGACCGUCCCCCAUACUACAAGAGCAAAAAGAAGCUAGGAGAGUGAUGGCGUUGAGUACAUUCUCAUUUCCAAGCAGUUGUUUGAGAGAAACGUACAGAAUAACAAGUACGUGGAAUCUUCUAGAACUCUUGAACUUCUUUGUAAAUACAUGCCUGUCUUCCCACUUUUAGCCAACCAUGG